UACGAAGGGGGCUAGCGUUGCUCGGAAUUACUGGGCGUAAAGGGCGCGUAGGCGGAUCGUUAAGUCAGUGGUGAAAUCCCGGAGCUCAACUUCGGAAUUGCCUUUGAUACUGGCGAUCUUGAGUGUGAGAGAGGUAUGUGGAACUCCGAGUGUAGAGGUGAAAUUCGUAGAUAUUCGGAAGGAACACCAGUGGCGAAGGCGACUACCUGGACUGAUACUGACACUGAGGUGCGAAAGCGUGGGGAGCAAACAGG
rnacentral:rRNA from 1 species